rnacentral:lncRNA from 1 species
UUCAAGAAGCAUAUUCUGCUUCCAUACUCUGCUGGAAUUCUGUCACCACCAUUUUGCUAAGUUAGGACUAGCCUGCUGGAAGAUUAAGAGACCAUGUAAGGAAAUUCAGUAGUUCCAGAAACUGUUUUUGACCAGCUGAUAGCCAGCUGACUUACAGCUGCCUACACCAAUCUACGACUGACCACAGAGAUGUGGGUAUAACAAGAAGGGAGUCAAGUUUUGGUCUUUUCAGUUCUCAGCAUUUUGCCCCAGAGAGUUAUUAACAGCUUUUGCAAGUCAGAAGUAAAAAUGAAAGUGGAACUCAAACCAUGCUCUGACCCAAACUUAUGUUUGAGGACGACGUAGGCUCAUUGGGUGUAGGUUGAACUGAGUGGUCCCUAAGUGAAAGGAGAUGAAAAUUGAAGGAAGAAGAGGGGCAAAAAUCCCCAACACUAAGAGUAGGAAGAUGAGCUGGAUGGUUUCUACAAAUGGCAGACAGGACUCCCGAAUGGGAAGAGAAGAGGGAAACUGGCUGCAGGAUACAGAAGUAGGUUAACUGUUGAACCACGAGGUGUUGGCAACAGUAGUGAACAUUUCAUUUAUUAGGCCUGGGGUUGGAGAACAGGAGUCAGAAAACUCCAAUUCCACACAUGGCACCAUGCCUAAAAGAUGGUGGGGGGCAGAAUUGGUGGAAACAUCAGCUGAUCAGAGGAGACACAGCCCCAGUGGUAACUGCUAUGAAUUAAGAGUUUGGCUCAUGACUUUAGUUUUGGUUGUCUUACUGUGAUCGCAAUGGGAUGCCUCAACUAUCUUGGGUGGGAAUCAGAAUUUAGAUAUAUGAUGUUUAUUGUACAUGAGUGUUCCCAGAAAAUGCUUAGGCUACUCCUACAACAAAGUAAAAUCAGAGGAAAUAUACUUUUAAAAAUAGAAAUUAUCAAUGAUUAAUCCAUUUGAAUUAUUUGACUAGGAAAAUAAGCGUGGGAAAAAAGUCAGUAAAUUUAAUUUAUUUAGCUAUUUAAAAGAACUUUGCCAAAAUUCUAUGACAAGAAUUAUUUUACUUUUCUUUUCCUCUAUUUUGAAUUAUGAAACAUUUCACAUGUUUCUGAAAAGGUCAGACCAGGAGAUAACAGACACCCAAAUAUUGACCACCCAGAUUUAACAGCUGUUAACAUUUAUUAAAUUUGCUUCGGAGCCUAUUUUUAAAAAUAAAAAUAAAAUAUUUCACAUGGAAUGAAAGCCCCAACUUCAUCUUUCCCCUCUCUUGUUCCCUAGAAAUAACCCUA